rnacentral:miRNA from 1 species
ACGGUACCUGUCGAGCGCUUCC